rnacentral:rRNA from 1 species
UACGUAGGGUGCAAGCGUUGUCCGGAAUUAUUGGGCGUAAAGAGCUCGUAGGCGGCUUGACACGUCGGCUGUGAAAACCUGGGGCUCAACCCCGGGCCUGCAGCCGAUACGGGCAAGCUAGAAUUCGGUAGGGGAGACUGGAAUUCCUGGUGUAGCGGUGAAAUGCGCAGAUAUCAGGAGGAACACCGGUGGCGAAGGCGGGUCUCUGGGCCGAUAUUGACGCUGAGGAGCGAAAGCGUGGGGAGCGAACAGG